rnacentral:tRNA from 1 species
GCCUGGGUGGCUCAGUGGUUGAGUGUCUGCCUUUGGCUCAGGUCGUGAUCCCAGGGUCAGGGAUCGAGUCCCAGAUCAGGCU